UGUCAAAGAGGUUCUACCCAAAACACGCCCACAUGGCCAUCCUAAUAUCAAGAUUUUUCAAAAUUUCUAUAACAAAAAAGAUGAAAAAACCAAUAAAAUUUCAGGAGCAUAGUGUUAAGAGUUCUGUAGAUGAUUAUGAGAUCUCUUGAAACAACAGAAUGUUUAAUAAAGAUUUUUAACUUUCCUAAUAGUAAAAUUACAAUUAUUACUAAACAGUAAGUUGAAGUAAGUUUUAAAUUAAGAAAAUGCAACUAACACCGAAAGAAAAAUGAAAGUUACUGAAAAUAAAAAACUUUAUUGCAGUACCUACAUACACUUUCUACAUCUAAUUUUGUUUAUUGAUCACAUUCAUUUACUUGAAAAAGUAUCAGGCCUAUGAAUCGUCGUCUGGAAACAGCUAACCACACACCAACCUUCAUUGCGUGUGAUGGUGUUUCUUCAAAAGCCCUAACAGAUGAAACCAGGCUUCAUCAGAAAAGAACGACAAAUCGAGAAUCCCGUUAUCGUCCAUAUCAGCUUGAAACCAACUACAAUACCCAACGCGGCAAGGAAAAUCAGCUGGUUGCAGCUCCUGAACCAACAAAAUCUUGUAUGGAUGCAUAUGUAACUUCUCUUUUACGAUUUUCUGACAUGGGCUGUAUGGUACUCCGGACAGUAAAGAUUUUUGACAAA